rnacentral:rRNA from 1 species
GCACUGUAGUCAGAGUUUGAUCCUGGCUCAGGAUGAACGCUAGCUACAGGCUUAACACAUGCAAGUCGAGGGGCAGCGGGGAUGAAGCUUGCUUUAUCUGCCGGCGACCGGCGCACGGGUGCGUAACGCGUAUCGAACCUACCGCAUACUCAGGGAUAGCCUUGCGAAAGUAAGAUUAAUACCCGAUGUUGCGUAUCUUUCUCCUGAAAGAUACGCCAAAGGAUUCCGGUAACCGAUGGGGAUGCGUUCCAUUAGGCAGUUGGCGGGGUAACGGCCCACCAAACCUUCGAUGGAUAGGGGUUCUGAGAGGAAGGUCCCCCACAUUGGAACUGAGACACGGUCCAA